UACAGAGGUCCCACGCGUUGUUCGGAUUAACUGGGCGUAAAGGGUGCGUAGGUGGUCUGGUACGUCUGAUGUGAAAUCUCCGAGCUUAACUCGGAAAUGGCAUUGGAUACUAUUCGGCUAGAGGGUUUGAGGGGGGACUGGAAUACUUGGUGUAGCAGUGAAAUGCGUAGAUAUCAAGUGGAACACCAGUGGCGAAGGCGAGGCCCUGGAAAACUCCUGACACUGAGGCACGAAAGCGAGGGGAGCAAACAGG
rnacentral:rRNA from 1 species